rnacentral:rRNA from 1 species
UACGGAGGGUGCGAGCGUUGUCCGGAAUCACUGGGCGUAAAGGGCGCGUAGGCGGCCUGAUAAGUAGGGGGUGAAAUCCUGCGGCUUAACCGCAGGGCUGCCUUCUAAACUGUCAGGCUCGAGCACAGUAGAGGCAGGUGGAAUUCCCGGUGUAGUGGUGAAAUGCGUAGAUAUCGGGAGGAACACCAGUGGCGAAGGCGGCUUCCUGGCCUGUUCUUGACGCUGAGGCGCGAAAGCUAGGGGAGCAAACGGG